UACGAAGGGUGCAAGCGUUGUUCGGAAUUACUGGGCGUAAAGGGCGCGUAGGCUGGUUUGUAAGUCGAAUGUGAAAUCCCCAGGCUUAACCUGGGACCUGCAUUCGAUACUGCUGAUCUUGAAUGCUUGAGAGGGUGGUGGAAUUCCUAGUGUAGAAGUGAAAUUCGUAGAUAUUAGGAGGAACAUCUGAGGCGAAGGCGGCCACCUGGCAAGACAUUGACGCUAAGGCGCGAAAGUGCGGGGAGCAAACAGGAUUAGAUACCCUGGUAGUCCGCACCAUAAACGAUGGAUACUAGAUGUUUGGAGAAUUAACCCUCUGAGUAUCAAAGUUCACACAUUAAGUAUCCCGCCUGGGGAGUACGGCCGCAAGGCUG
rnacentral:rRNA from 1 species